UUCCUACGCUCAGUUAUAUUAUUUUGAAAUAAGAGCGAAGGAAGUUUAAUACGGUGUACAAUUUAGUUUUGUACUUAUGAGUUAUUGAGUUAUUCAUAUAUAAGUUUAUACAUGUGAUAUAAUUUUUUGUAAAAAUAAAUUCUGAAUACAAGAAAAUUAAGACAACUUAAGUUAGUAACAAAAAACUAAGUCAUUACCCUUUUUUGUAUGUAACCUUUAUAAAGACUUUAAAAAAUUUGGUGGACAAGAACAAUACAUAAGAUCCCAUAGUAAUUGAUCAUCUUUCGCGUGACAGAGGUGAAGUGAUCCAGGACGACAAAAAGAUCAUUGAACUAAGAGGAAACAAGGAAUUGCUUGAUGACAA